rnacentral:rRNA from 1 species
GACGAACGCUGGCGGCGUGCUUAACACAUGCAAGUCGAACGGAAAGGCCCUGCUUUUGUGGGGUGCUCGAGUGGCGAACGGGUGAGUAACACGUGAGUAACCUGCCCUUGACUUUGGGAUAACUUCAGGAAACUGGGGCUAAUACCGGAUAGGAGCUCCUGCUGCAUGGUGGGGGUUGGAAAGUUUCGGCGGUUGGGGAUGGACUCGCGGCUUAUCAGCUUGUUGGUGGGGUAGUGGCUUACCAAGGCUUUGACGGGUAGCCGGCCUGAGAGGGUGACCGGCCACAUUGGGACGGGGAUAAGGCCCAGACUCCUACGGGAGGCAGCAGUGGGGAAUAUUGCACAAUGGGCGGAAGCCUAAUGCAGCAACGCCGCGUGGGGGAUGACGGCCUUCGGUUUGGAAACCGCUUUCGCCUGUGACGAAGCGUGAGUGACGGUAAUGGGUAAAGAAGCACCGGCUAACUACGUG